AAUCCAUGCAUCAGAAAUUUUGGAAUUAACUCUUUAAAUCAUUCCCAAGCUUCAUAUAGUGUUUCAUCCUCUAAUUUUUGAAAAUAUGUGAUGUCAUUUCUAAAAUU
rfam:Gossypium raimondii Chr04_contig_808, whole genome shotgun sequence.